rnacentral:rRNA from 1 species
UACAGAGGUCCCAAGCGUUGUUCGGAUUCACUGGGCGUAAAGGGUGCGUAGGUGGUGAGGUAAGUCGGAUGUGAAAUCUCCGAGCUCAACUCGGAAAUGGCAUUGGAAACUACCUUGCUCGAGGGUUGGAGGGGGGACUGGAAUGCUUGGUGUAGCAGUGAAAUGCGUAGAUAUCAAGCGGAACACCAGUGGCGAAGGCGGCUUCUUGGGCCAUUACUGACGCUGAGGCGCGAAAGCCAGGGGAGCGAACGGG